ensembl:lncRNA
AAAGACCAGUGGCAGGACCAAGGGAAUAGAGCUUCAAGGUAAAUAUUACUACUCUUAUAGAGACCAGUGGAAGGACCAAGGGAAUAGAGCUUCAAGGUAAAUAUUACUACUCUUAUAGAGACCAGUGGAAGGACCGAGGGAAUAGAGCUUCAAGGUAAAUAUUACUACUCUUAUAGAGACCAGUGGAAGGACCAAGGGAAUAGAGCUUCAAGGUAAAUAUUACUACUCUUAUAGAGACCAGUGGAAGGACCAAGGGAAUAGAGCUUCAAGGUAAAUAUUACUACUCUUAUAGAGACCAGUGGAAGGACCGAGGGAAUAGAGCUUCAAGGUAAAUAUAUCUGUGUUUGUUUUGUUUAAGAGUUAUAAGAAGUGUUUUGAGGUAAUUACAUUUGCAAUAUCUGGCAUAGUAGUAUGGUAUAUAUAGUAUAGGAUAUAUAGUAUGGUAUAUAUAGUAUAGUAUAGUAUA